GCUUUGUACACAGCCCUCUCUCUUUUCAUUCUCCGCCUCCUCUCUCUGUCUCUGUAUUCAGACGGCGUCGUUUUUCCGAUCUGGUAGAGAGAGAGGUUCUCUCUAUUCUCUUGUCUCUCUCAUUCUUCUGUGCCUGCUCUUUCUGGGUUAGACGGAGAGAGCAGACAGCGAAGACAGAGAAAACUGAGUGAGGGAGCCAAUAUCUGAUUCUAAUGGGUUUUGGGUUUUACCUUUGUUAAACUAAUUGCCUCAUCUUUCGGCUGCAAGGGUUAAGAUCUUUUGAUCAAUUUCUUGUAGCUUUGUUCUGGAGGCAUACACUGAUUCCAUACUCUUGGGGGUUUUAUUUAGUCCAGAUUAUCUUGUGGUUCUCUGGCUACCCUCUGCUUGGAACAUUUCAAAUCUCCUUUUCUCUAUGGGACAUGAAAUAAUUUGGAUUUGUGGCUUCUUUUUGAUCAAGCAUUUAAAAUUGGUAAAUCUGAGCUAGAUUGUAUU
rnacentral:lncRNA from 1 species